ACUUCCGGCUUCCCUGCUCCCACAAAAUGGUAGCCGCCGUGGGGGAUGUCCAGUUUUUUUUCCUCUUCCCAAGUACAGACGCAGAGCAGACUUGUCUUUCCGCUUAACCUCAACCUCGUGUGAUCUGCCAGUUUCGCUCCCGGUUAGCCCAGGACUUUUUAUAGCAUAGAGUUUUAAAGCAAGGGCUUAGAAUCAGACCUGGGUCAAAAUCCUGCCUUCCACCUUCACCAAGGCAGUGUGACCUUGACGUUCCUACAUAAGAGAUUAAAAUGUAAACCCUUAGCCCUGAGCUUGUUUUAGAAUCUGGGCCCCGUCCAUGACUGCUUCUAUUCUAUUGCGGUACGGGGGUGGGGUGGGGGUGGGGAACUACAUGCAUGUCCACUCAGUAUACUGAAACUGGUUACAUUGAUGGAAAACUUCCAAAGCUUCUUGAAAUAAAGACGCCAAAUUCCAGCGAAACAGCUGAUGCCAGCCAGCUUGAAGACCCCUGCCACAGAAGAAGGGAAUCAGCAUGAGAAUACAGCUUCUUCAUCUCGCUGUCCCAUGACUUCGCCCUGUACUCUUCAGCCAAUUAAUGAUCUCCACACUUGGGACCACUCUAAAACCCUUAAGAACCUGAGACUCAAAGUCCUCCUGGAGACGAAUUUGAGGUUUCCUCCUAUCUGUGUUUGGUGGCCCUAUGAUUAAACCUCUUUCUCUUCUGCAACCUGGUGUCCCAGUGUAUUAACUUGCCAUGGGCAUCAGACAACAAACCUAUAUAUAGUAUCCCAAAUAUGGUGCUCCACUUUGAAACCUGAAGAAAUCCUGCAAUUGAGUUAGCCUUUUGAAAUAAAAAUUAUUUCAAAUUU
rnacentral:lncRNA from 1 species